ACUAAAUUGUAAAAAGUGCAAAAGUUGAGUUCUUUAUAUAUGAGGUGCCUAAUUGUUAUGAGUUUUAAAUUGAAAGUCCUUAUGUGACAAUUAUUCCUUUAAUAAGUUAGUGAAUGGAUAUUUGUUUGGUAUUUUUGAAAUUUGGUUGAAAUAAAAAGGGUAAUUUUGUAAAUUAAUUAAAAUAACCUAAUAAGACAAAUGAUAAAAGCUAUCAUUUUUUUUUCAUUCUUUCUUCUUCAACCGUGGGAAAGAACAGAAAAUAGCAGCCAUGGAUGAGCUCCAUUCGGCCAAGCUUUUAUGGCUUAUAUAGAUGAUGAAAAUUGAGACUUGGACCUAGAACGGAAAGAAAUCGAUUUAUGGACGAGUAUGUCCUUUUCACAUUUGUGGUAUCGAGGUAAGUUCGUAUGUAAACAAUACCAUGCUAUACAUGUAUUUAAAUGUUAUCAUUACAUGAAUUGUACAGAUAUUAAUGUGUAUGUAAUUAAUGAAAUAUGAUAAGACAAAGCCUUAAUAGACGAGGAAAAAUCCCGUUUGAACCUUAGGAAUAGAAUAGGAUACGAGUGACAUGUCACUAGGAAUUAUGAGUCUAGAUGACUAGCUCGAGAGUGAGCAUUGAAAUGUCAUGAGAUAUGAGGUAGCUUUAGCUACAAUUGAAGCACUUAUGUGCAAAA